rnacentral:rRNA from 1 species
GAUGAACGCUGGCGGCGUGCUUAACACAUGCAAGUCGAUCGAUGAAGCCCAGCUUGCUGGGUGGAUUAGUGGCGAACGGGUGAGUAACACGUGAGUAACCUGCCCUUGACUCUGGGAUAAGCCUGGGAAACUGGGUCUAAUACUGGAUAUGACUUCUCAUCGCAUGGUGGGGGGUGGAAAGAUUUAUUGGUCUUGGAUGGACUCGCGGCCUAUCAGCUUGUUGGUGAGGUAAUGGCUCACCAAGGCGACGACGGGUAGCCGGCCUGAGAGGGUGACCGGCCACACUGGGACUGAGACACGGCCCAGACUCCUACGGGAGGCAGCAGUGGGGAAUAUUGCACAAUGGGCGCAAGCCUGAUGCAGCGACGCCGCGUGAGGGAUGACGGCCUUCGGGUUGUAAACCUCUUUCAGUAGGGAAGAAGCGAGAGUGACGGUACCUGCAGAAGAAGCGCCGGCUAACUACGUG